GUUGAUCCUGGCUCAGNUUGAACGCUGGCGGAAUGCUUUACACAUGCAAGUCGAACGGUAGAGGGGGCAACCCCUUGAGAGUGGCGAACGGGUGAGUAAUAUAUCGGAACGUGCCCAGUCGUGGGGAUAACGUAGCGAAAGUUACGCUAAUACCGCAUACGAUCUAAGGAUGAAAGCGGGGGACUCGCAAGAGCCUCGCGCGAUUGGAGCGGCCGAUAUCAGAUUAGGUAGUUGGUGGGUAAAGGCUCACCAAGCCAACGAUCUGUAGCUGGUCUGAGAGGACGACCAGCCACACUGGAACUGAGACACGGUCCAGACUCCUACGGGAGGCAGCAGUGGGGAAUUUUGGACAAUGGACGCAAGUCUGAUCCAGCCAUUCCGCGUGCAGGAUGAAGGCCCUCGGGUUGUAAACUGCUUUGUACGGAACGAAAAGGUUUCUAUUAAUACUAGGAGCUCAUGACGGUACCGUAAGAAUAAGCACCGGCUAACUACGUG
rnacentral:rRNA from 1 species